rnacentral:rRNA from 1 species
GAUGCGACCUCAGCUCAGGCGGGGCCACCCGCUGAGUUUAAGCAUAUCAAUAAGCGGAGU